GAAAGGCCGCGGUAUAUUAACUGUGCAAAGGUAGCAUAAUCAUUAGUUUUUUAAUUGAAGGCUUGUAUGAAGGGUUGGACAAAGAAAAGACUGUCUUUCUUUUUAAAUUUGAAGUUAACUUUUAAGUGAAAAGGCUUAAUUGAAUUUAAGGGACGAUAAGACCCUAUAAAUCUUUAUUAUUUUGUUGGGGUGACGAGAAUAUAAAUUUAACUGUUCUUAAGAAAAACAAAGUUGUUUGUUAUAAUAGAUCCUUUUUAGAGAUUAAGAGUUUAAGUUACUUUAGGGAUAACAGCGUUAUUUUUUUUGAGAGUUCUUAUCGAAAAAAAAGUUUGCGACCUCGAUGUUGAAUUAAGAUUUCUCUGUGGUGAAGUAGUUGCAGGAGGAAAGUCUGUUCGACUUUUGAAAUUUU
rnacentral:rRNA from 1 species